GUACGGGGGGGACUAACGUUGUUCGGAUUUACUGGGCGUAAAGGGUGCGUAGGCGGACCUUCAAGUCGGAUGUGAAAACUAUAGGCUCAACUUAUAGCUUGCAUUCGAUACUGUCGGUCUUGAGUUAAUUAGAGGAAUGUGGAAUUCCAGGUGUAGCGGUGAAAUGCGUAGAUAUCUGGAGGAACACCAGUAGCGAAGGCGACAUUCUGGGAUUAUACUGACGCUGAAGCACGAAGGCUAGGGGAGCAAACAGGAUUAGAAACCCUAGUAGUCC
rnacentral:rRNA from 1 species